UACGUAGGGCGCGAAGCGUUAUCCGGAAUUAUUGGGCGUAAAGAGCUCGUAGGCGGUUUGUCGCUGUCUGCCGUGAAAGUCCGGGGCUCAACUCCGGAUCUGCGGUGGGUACGGGCAGACUAGAGUGAUGUAGGGGAGACUGGAAUUCCUGGUGUAGCGGUGAAAUGCGCAGAUAUCAGGAGGAACACCGAUGGCGAAGGCAGGUCUCUGGGCAUUAACUGACGCUGAGGAGCGAAAGCAUGGGGAGCGAACAGG
rnacentral:rRNA from 1 species